UACGAAGGGUGCAAGCGUUAAUCGGAAUUACUGGGCGUAAAGGGUGCGUAGGCGGUUUGUUAAGUCUGUUGUGAAAUCCCCGGGCUCAACCUGGGAAUGGCAAUGGAUACUGGCAAGCUAGAGUGUGUCAGAGGAUGGUGGAAUUUCCGGGUGUAGCGGUGAAAUGCGUAGAGAUCGGAAGGAACAUCAGUGGCGAAGGCGGCCAUCUGGGACAACACUGACGCUGAAGCACGAAAACGUGGGGAGCAACAGG
rnacentral:rRNA from 1 species